UGAAAAUAUAUUAUAAAGAGAGAUGAGAAGAAGAAUUUUUGGGGAAAGAAGAGAAGAGAUAUGUGAAGAUGUGUGUGACCCCUUCUCUAUUUAUACUAUUACAUGGUAAAUCCACACCACACAAAUAAAAAAAAAAAAAUUACGUCUUAACCUUACAUUUGUCCUACUAAUAAUCCCACUAAUAAAACAUAAACCUAACUUAAUCCACUCAAGCAUAUCCAACAUAUUCCACUAACAAUUAUCAUACUUAACAUGAUAAAAACUUAUAAUUUUACAAUUAUCACAUUUACCAUGAUAAAAAUAUAAAAAUUUACAACAAAAGUCUCGGCUUCUCCUCGAUAAUGACAUAAUUUCUAGGACUUUCGGAAUCUAAAUUUGAUAUAUGUACAUUUGUUUGGAGCCUCAAAUUGCAUGAAAUUAUUAUUUUUACCUAAUAAACACACAAAAUACACAUAAUCAAAUAUUUAGAAAAAUAAUUAAAAAUUCACAGUAUGUUACACAAUUACAAAUAUAAAUUACAGUAAUAGCAUAAAAUAACAUUUUUAUCCCUUAAUAAACAUAUAAUUUUUAACACUAAUCAUUGGGGCUACUUUUAUGUCCUCAUAAAUAUUUUGUCAAGCUAGGACUGGGCCUUUUUUUUUCACUUUCUCAAUUAUUUUUCGAGUAAAGUUUGGAGAUUAUACAGACACAUAAUAUCUUUAUUUGUCAAAAAAAAUAAUACAGAUUACGGGAAUUCAGAUGUUAUUACCCCAAAAAACACCAAAAAAAAAUAUAUAUAUUAUACUUUAAUCGAAGAGCGUAGGCGUGACUGACUUCAUCAUCUCACUCUCAUCUGGUUUGUUUCCACCUCCUGUGUGUGAGAACAGAAUUCGAAAAAGGUUAUUUAAACUCACAAGAAUCUGGCCUUUUCUUUUUCUUUUCAGUCAUUUGUUUCAAUGUUUCUUCUCGCAGAAUCAAAUAUCAUAAAGAGACAUUUGGAUCCGAUAAUUGUUAAAAAUCAAAACUAGGGUGAUAUAUGUUAAAAAUCUUAUAGCAUCUGUUUGAAAUUGUCGUGCUUUGACAUUUUGAAGUUACACUGAAAUUUAUUAAUAUUGAAAUUGAUUAAUAGUCUAUUGAAAAGUUACAUUUCUACAAUAUUACCGUAUACUUUAAAUUCGGCUAAGCAUACCUCAAAAUUUAGGCUUAUAAAGACUCAACUCCUUGUCCUCGGACAUUAGGUGGCAAAGUUAUAGUACAUCUUCGAAAAUAAUGAUACCUUUUAAAUAAAAAAGAAUUACAUUUAAUAGUAGCAGAAUUCUCUCGUGAUCUGAUCAUAUCCUGAACAAAUAACUCAAUUGAUGAUUAAUUAUUAAUAAAUAAAAAAAUAAAAAAAUUAAAUAUUAUUCAUAUACUAUCACUAAACGACACAUAAUAAAUUUUUUUAAAAAAAUCAGUAAAAUUCAGAUAAUGAGAUAAUCAUAUUCCUUCCAUUAGAGGGAAUUGAGCUUUAAAGCCCACGACACGUCAAUGGGAGCUUGACACAUGUGCGGCAGUCACAAAUUCACCUCCCUUAAUGCUGGUGUGGACAGGACGUAGAAAGUUUCUUACCAUUAGUCAAAUAGGUGGGACUGGAGAGAAUGUUUAGUACUUUGUCAAUUUAAAUGCCGACAUUCUGCUGGUAAAUAAAAAUAAAUAAAUACAAAAUUGGGGAAUUUCACUUGAACUAGUUUAUGGACAUUUGCGAUGGACUAAUCAUCAUCACUUGUUGAAUUAGGUAAGAAAAAUGAGCAUGUGCACAUUUUUUUAUAUAUUACUUCAAAGGAAUUUUAUAAUUUGAACAUAACAUGGCUAAUUUGCAAAUGAUGAAGGCCUAGUUAGAUGAUCGAGUUCAAGAACCUCAAAUUCAGGCAAGUGGGAGGAUUUGAUUCUCUCAUUCAUUCUACUUUUCGAUGAGAAUAUUUCUUGAAAUUUGACAUAGUCUGCGUCCCCAUACAAACUUUUUAAUACUUUACAAUGUUAUAUUAUAUUAAACUAAACUUUAUA
rnacentral:lncRNA from 1 species